UACGGGGGGGGGUAAGCGUUGUUCGGAAUUACUGGGCGUAAAGGCUCGUAGGCGGCCAACUAAAGUCAUACGUGAAAUCCCUCAGCUUAACCGGGGAACUGCGUCUGAUACUGGAUGGCUCGAGUGUGGGAGAGGGAUGCGGAAUUCCAGGUGUAGCGGUGAAAUGCGUAGAUAUCUGGAGGAACACCGGUGGUGAAGGCGGCAUCCUGGACCGACACUGACGCUGAGGAGCGAAAAGCCAGGGGAGCAACGGG
rnacentral:rRNA from 1 species